rnacentral:rRNA from 1 species
GUGUCAGCAGCCGCGGUAAUACGUAGGGUCCGAGCGUUAUCCGGAAUUACUGGGCGUAAAGAGUUCGUAGGCGGAUUUUUAAGUCAGGUGUUAAAUAUGCAGGCUCAACUUGCAUGCUGCAUCUGAUACUGGGAGUCUUGAGGAUGGAAGAGGUAAGCGGAAUUUCCGGUGGAGCGGUAAAAUGCGUAGAUAUCGGAAAGAACACCAAUGGCGAAGGCAGCUUACUGGGCCAUUUCUGACGCUGAGGAACGAAAGCGUGGGGAGCGAUCGGGAUUAGAUACCCCCGUAGUCC